UGAGGAAUAUUGGUCAAUGGGCGCAAGCCUGAACCAGCCAUGCCGCGUGCAGGAUGACGGCCCUAUGGGUUGUAAACUGCUUUUGUACGGGAAGAAACCCUGCUUUGCGAAGCAGCUUGACGGUACCGUAAGAAUAAGGAUCGGCUAACUCCGUGCCAGCAGCCGCGGUAAUACGGAGGAUCCAAGCGUUAUCCGGAAUCAUUGGGUUUAAAGGGUCCGUAGGCGGCCCUGUAAGUCAGUGGUGAAAUCUCACGGCUCAACCGUGAAAUUGCCAUUGAUACUGCAGGGCUUGAAUUAUCAGGAAGUAACUAGAAUAUGUAGUGUAGCGGUGAAAUGCUUAGAGAUUACAUGGAAUACCAAUUGCGAAGGCAGGUUACUACUGGUGGAUUGACGCUGAUGGACGAAAGCGUGGGUAGCGAACA
rnacentral:rRNA from 1 species